rnacentral:rRNA from 1 species
UACGAAGGGGGCUAGCGUUGCUCGGAAUCACUGGGCGUAAAGGGUGCGUAGGCGGGUCUUUAAGUCAGAGGUGAAAUCCUGGAGCUCAACUCCAGAACUGCCUUUGAUACUGAGGAUCUUGAGUUCGGGAGAGGUGAGUGGAACUGCGAGUGUAGAGGUGAAAUUCGUAGAUAUUCGCAAGAACACCAGUGGCGAAGGCGGCUCACUGGCCCGAUACUGACGCUGAGGCACGAAAGCGUGGGAGCAACAGG